UGAUGUUCAGGAUGGGACCCGGUAUGAGGUCCUACAUGCUGAUCAGGAUUAAUAUGGCGACCAGAGUGCUCAGGUAUGUCUUUGUUUUUUUAGAUGCACUGGGACAAUGCAUUUGUAUUUAGUUGGAGUUGGGGGUGUGUCUCAUAGCCGCAACCAUUGACUGUGGUUUGAAUGCGGAACCAACAUGUUGUAUUAUGUUUUGUGAUAUUUUGUAUGUGUUUUGUGUGAUGUUUAAAUUGGGAGGGAACUUGGUAUCUAAGGCAGUUAACGUUUUUGUUGAUAUAAUUGUGCUAAAACUUUUGAAUAUGUUUGAAAAAAAAUGGUACCCCUCUAUAAAUUUUGACAACUGUGUGAUGUGUGUACGUGUGUGACUGCUGUGAAUCUCAUAAUGGCAUUAGAAUUAGGGAUUUAAUAAAUGUGGUAAGCAAUUGCAUGAACUGAAUAUGAAGUAACUAGAAAUGUGAACCUGUACAAUGUGUGUGGGAGGUGUUACCUAGUCUCCUCUGUGUGUGGAAUCCAGAACUUGCCCAGUUAGUCUUGCCUAGGUUGUAGGAUCAUCAAUUAGGAAAGGAUUAUAGGCCAUUUUUGAAAAAAAUCAGUCCACUUUAGCCUAAUAUAAACAACCAAAUAUGAAUAAGAAUCCCUUGAUCCCAAUUUGAGCCUUAAUAGACCUAAUUUUUGCUUAGACCGAUUCACCUUCCCAUUUUAAUAGUAAUGAACCUAUUUUGUCCCUGGUCUUCCUUGAAAAAUGUAUACCUUAACUCAGGAAAAUCGCCUUAGUUGAGGGUGGCUAUCAUAGGGGUGCACAAAGAAAAGUGGGUAUGAAGAAGGGGUGUGAUUUGAAAAGAAAGUAAGAUUGGGUGUGCUAGAAAAAGAAAAAUGAGAAAAUUAUGAAAAGUAGAAAAAAAGAAAGAAAAAGAAACUUAUGAAAAAAAUAAGAAAAAGAAAAGAAUAAAAGAUCGUACCAAGUCGGAACAGGUAGAAAAAGAAUUAAAAGGGAGAAACAAGGGCGGAUUGAAAGAAAAGUUGGAAAAUGAGUGGACCCUAAAGAAAUUAUAGUGUCAAGGAGGCUUAGUCACAAUAAAUUUUCCCGAUUAUACCGUACCAACCCCAAGCCUAUGUUACAAGCCAAAUAAAGUCCUAUAGUGAUCUUAACCCGCAUAUUCGAAAACUAAAGUAAAGAAAAUAAGGGCAAACCUAUGACAUUCUGUGCGCACUAUAGAACUUUGUUGAGAGAGAGAGAGAGUCUCUUGACCAUCCUUGCAUUAUCAUGAUAAAUUCAUAUGAGUGAAUGGGACUUAUUUGACUGAGAGGGUACAUGGGUCGCAUUAUUAGAUUAUUUAUCUGUUCAGGUAGUGUAACUUGUGUAUAUGCCUACUUAUUCAUUGCUAAUGUAAUGCCAUCACUUCAUUCCUAUGUGUCCUAUUUUUGUACUCCAUAUGUAUACACGGUUGGGUUUUGAAAGACUAGAAAUAAGAGAGGGUAAUGUGUUGUAAACUAAAGUUGAGAAUUGACUGCCAAAGGUAUUUUAGGAUUUUCCUAUUUAAGCAUCAUGUUUGUGUUUGUUUUGUGUUUUUCCUGAGGACAUGCAAACAUUCUUAGUUGAGGGUGUUGAUAUAUCAUUGAAACAUGGCACAUUUGAUUCUUAAAACGAUAAAAUUAUGCCUUGACUUAGGUCGUUUCGUCGGAUAUGAUGUGUGUUUUAUGUGCUUUGCAGGGAAACUAGGUCGGAAGUAGUUUUGAACUAAAAGGGAGAAAAAAAGUGCUGAAAAGUCAAAGUAUUGGUCAAGCUACGAGUAUUAAGUCACAUUAUGACUCGUGCCCAGACUUGUAAGGAUAAUAGUGGCAAAGCAAAAUUUCAUAAGUAAAUUCAUAGAAGGCUACAAGUUGUAGUGUAAAGCUAUAUUGAGAACAGUGUGGAAAAUGCUGAAGGCUGAUGCUCUAGUGGUAACAAGUGAA
rnacentral:lncRNA from 1 species